rnacentral:rRNA from 1 species
AGCGAACGCUGGCGGCAGGCUUAACACAUGCAAGUCGAGCGGGCAUCCUUGUGGUGUCAGCGGCAGACGGGUGAGUAACGCGUGGGAACGUGCCCUUCGGUUCGGAAUAACUCAGGGGAACUUGAGCUAAUACCGGAUACGUGCGAGAGCAGAAAGGUUUAUCUGCCGAAGGAUCGGCCCGCGUCUGAUUAGCUAGUUGGUGAGGUUACGGCUCACCAAGGCGACGAUCAGUAGCUGGUCUGAGAGGAUGAUCAGCCACACUGGGACUGAGACACGGCCCAGACUCCUACGGGAGGUAGCAGUGGGGAAUAUUGCACAAUGGGCGGAAGCCUGAUGCAGCAACGCCGCGUGCGGGAUGACGGCCUUCGGGUUGUAAACCGCUUUCGCCUGUGACGAAGCGUGAGUGACGGUAAUGGGUAAAGAAGCACCGGCUAACUACGUG